UACGGAGGGUGCAAGCGUUAUCCGGAUUCACUGGGUUUAAAGGGUGCGUAGGUGGGCAGGUAAGUCAGUGGUGAAAUCUCCGGGCUUAACCCGGAAACUGCCAUUGAUACUAUCUGUCUUGAAUACCGUGGAGGUGAGCGGAAUAUGUCAUGUAGCGGUGAAAUGCGUAGAUAUCGAGAGGAACACCUGCGGCGAAGGCGGGUUGCUGGGCCGACACUGACGCUGAUGCGCGAAAGCCAGGGGAGCAAACGGG
rnacentral:rRNA from 1 species